AUUGAACGCUGGCGGAAUGCUUUACACAUGCAAGUCGAACGGCAGCACGGGUGCUUGCACCUGGUGGCGAGUGGCGAACGGGUGAGUAACAUAUCGGAACGUGCCCAGUAAUGGGGGAUAACUAACCGAAAGGUUAGCUAAUACCGCAUACGCCCUGAGGGGGAAAGCGGGGGAUCGAAAGACCUCGCGUUAUUGGAGCGGCCGAUAUCUGAUUAGCUAGUUGGUAGGGUAAAGGCCUACCAAGGCGACGAUCAGUAGCUGGUCUGAGAGGAUGAUCAGCCACACUGGGACUGAGACACGGCCCAGACUCCUACGGGAGGCAGCAGUGGGGAAUUUUGGACAAUGGGCGAAAGCCUGAUCCAGCCAUUCCGCGUGAGUGAAGAAGGCCUUCGGGUUGUAAAGCUCUUUCGGCAGGAACGAAACGCUCUAGAUUAAUACUCUGGGGUAAUGACGGUACCUGAAGAAGAAGCACCGGCUAACUACGUGCCAGCCGCCGCAGUAA
rnacentral:rRNA from 1 species